rnacentral:rRNA from 1 species
GACAGAGGUGCCAAGCGUUAGGCGGAAUCACUGGGCUUAAAGCGUGUGUAGGCGGAUGUCUAAGUACCUUGUGAAAUCCCACGGCUCAACCGUGGAACUGCUUGGUAUACUGGACGUCUUGAGCCAGCUAGGGGCUACCGGAACAAAUGGUGGAGCGGUGAAAUGCGUAGAUAUCAUUUGGAACGCCAAUGGUGAAAACAGGUAGCUGGGGCUGUGCUGACGCUGAGACACGAAAGCCAGGGGAGCGAACGGGG